rnacentral:rRNA from 1 species
GAUGAACGCUAGCGGCAGGCCUAAUACAUGCAAGUCGAACGGUAACAUGAGUAGCAAUACUUGAUGACGAGUGGCGCACGGGUGCGUAACGCGUAUGCAAUCUACCUUUAACUGGUGAAUAGCCCGAAGAAAUUCGGAUUAAUACACCAUAGUAUAUUGAGGAGGCAUCUCCUUAAUAUUAAAACUCCGGUGGUUAAAGAUGAGCAUGCGUGACAUUAGCUAGUUGGUGAGGUAACGGCUCACCAAGGCAACGAUGUCUAGGGGAUCUGAGAGGAUUAACCCCCACACUGGUACUGAGACAGGGACCAGACUCCUACGGGAGGCAGCAGUAAGGAAUAUUGGACAAUGGUCGCAAGACUGAUCCAGCCAUGCCGCGUGAAGGAUGACGGCCCUAUGGGUUGUAAACUUCUUUUGUACGGGAAAAAACCCUUCUACGUGUAGAGGGCUGAUUGUACCGUAAGAAUAAGGAUCGGCUAACUCCGUGCCAGCAGCCGCCGUAA